AGAUUGAGAGUGAAAGCCAGAGC
rnacentral:siRNA from 1 species